CAGUAGCCGCGGUAAUACGAAGGGUGCAAGCGUUACUCGGAAUUACUGGGCGUAAAGCGUGCGUAGGUGGUGGUUUAAGUCCGUUGUGAAAGCCCUGGGCUCAACCUGGGAAUUGCAGUGGAUACUGGGUCACUAGAGUGUGGUAGAGGAUAGUGGAAUUUCCGGUGUAGCAGUGAAAUGCGUAGAGAUCGGAAGGAACAUCUGUGGCGAAGGCGACUAUCUGGGCCAUCACUGACACUGAGGCACGAAAGCGUGGGGAGCAAACAGGAUUAGAUACCCCAGUAGUCCCUGUCUCUUAUAC
rnacentral:rRNA from 1 species